rnacentral:rRNA from 1 species
CGAAACUAUUUGAUAAAUUUUUUCUUAGUUUAGAUCUUAUGAAUUAAAAGGGCUUUUUUCAAAAAAGGAUUAAUAGCAUAGAUAUUAUUAUCGGAAAUAGUUAUAGCUUAUAGAGGAGAAAGCUUUAAUAUUAAAAUGUACCGGUAAAUUCGGUUCAUUGGUCAUAGUGUAUAUUUAUAAAUACAAAAAUUUGAGAUGAGAAGUUUCUAAAAUAUAGAAGUGUUUUUACUUUAAUUAUAACAAUAAAACCACUUUUUUUGGUUCUCCUAACGAAAUUAAAAUAGAAAUUAUGCUGGAAUUAGUAAAUGAAUGAAGAUAUAAUAACUAGAGCUUAACUCCAACUGUUUAACAAAAACAUUUCCUUUAUGAAAAUUCUAAAGGUAGAGCCUGCUCAGUGAUGAAAAUAAACAGCCGCGGUAUUUUAACUGCGCGAAGGUAGCAUAAUUAAUUGUCUUUUAAUUGGUGACUUGUUUGAACGGCUUAAUGAGGGUUAAACUUUCUUUAUCUUCAAACGAACUUAUUAUCUUGGGUCAAAAAACCUAGAUUAAUAAAAAAGAAGAGAAGACCCUGAUGAGUUUUACAAUAAAGAUUGUUUAAAUGGGGCCUUACAAUUUUUUGCAUAUUUGUAUUAGAUCCUACCUUGAGGAAAAAGGAAUAAAUUACCACAGGGAUAACAGGACAAAAUUUGCUAAGAGUACGUAUCUAAGCAAGGAAAUGUUACCUCGAUGUUGAAUCAAAGUGAACUUUUAGGCGCAGAAGUUUUUGGAGUGGGUCUGUUCGACCUUUAAAACUUUACG